rnacentral:lncRNA from 1 species
UAUACCUUUAGAUUUAAGACUUUGCACUGUUAUGUCUCUUCCUGAAGUAUAACAUAGCUCCGGACCUCUACCACUUAGUCUUCUAAUGCACAUGUGAAAUUUACCAGGGAAUUUGUAUUUUAGGAAAGAGAUAAUAGUCGUUUUUUGACAGAACUGUUAUUCAGGAAUAUAGAAAAAAGAAUGGCCACAAAUUAAUUUCUCUUCUCCUACAUUGCUUGAAUGUCAUUGAAAAGUGCAUCAAAAUCUGCAAACAAGCAGGAGGCAGAAGAAAAAAAAAUGCUCUGAUCAGGUUCUUACUGCUGGAUGAAUGGCUGUCUUAGCAAUUACAGCAAUUUUGUGAUUCCUAGAGAAAUAACUCUGAUGUUAUUUUAAAGUGCUUUAAUUCCUAGCUAAAUGCUUCUUUAAAAAUAGGGAGGGGACAAAAUAUAUAUAUAUAUAUAUAUAUAUAUAUAUAUUACUGAUAUUUUAGUUUUCAUUCAUAAAUUCAGUUAUAUUGUGCUCAGUAAGCUCAGAGAGAACCCCAAAAUCACUUUCUGGGGGGGAGGAAAAAGGAGUUUACAAGAGAAUUAGGUGCUAUUUGAGCCGAACAGCCUUGGGCUUGAGCACCCCGUGGAGGCACACAGCACCUGAAGAACCAGGCUGGGAGCUGUGUUUCUUUUGGAGGAGAGCAGCAGCAAGGAGCAGCGUGGGGACGAUGCUCCGGCCGCUGCAGCCUCCCCCUUGGGCACAGCGGGAUGCACGCACCCCCUGCUGCUCCCUGCUGUUCCCAAGCGACCCCAAAACCCCAUCCCCGAGCUGUGCACGAUGCAGAAGCACACAGAGGCGGCGGGGAAGGCCGCACGCCGCCUCCCCUCCGCCAGGGGCACCCCAGGCCGCCGCCGCCGCCGCCUCCCGAGCCCUGCCCGGCCCCGCAGCCCGCCCACCGCUUCCCCGGGGCCGCGGGGGCCCGCGCCGCCUUCCCCCGGCCGCCUUUAUAGGGCCAGGGGCGGCCGGGGCGAGCUGCGGUGAGUGCCUCCGCUGGGAGCACGGUGCUGGAGGCCGGGGAGGGAGAAAAAGGUUUGGAGUUUGGAUUUGCUGUACAAGUAACAGAGCAGCUGUUGCCUCACAAUACCUACACACAGGUUUGAAUCUGAUAGUGUUAUCACAAAGAGGGCUUCCCUGGAGAGGAGGUACGUGCAUGUCUAAUGACAGAAUAGUUUUGACUGAGUCUUCUGAAAGUGCCAGUGUGCUCUUAAGGAUCAGGAGAGUAAACUUACCUGACUCUUAAAACUUCUAUAUUUCCAUAUGCAUCUUUGUUUUCCCUUUUGCUGAGAAGGUUUUGGUGGGUAUCUGUGGGUGAUUUGGCAUGUGCUCGCUUUGAGGGCUGGCACAAGCUGAUAAGCACUGGCUAUGAUGCAAGCAGUGUGGGUGUUACUGAAGGCAGGCAAUUGUUGCUCUCUGUGAAGUCCAUUCAUUCAGAGGCCUUCUUGAAGAUCGUUCUUUCUUCUGUUCCUUCUAAGUGAGAAGCAAAACUGCAGAGUGCUGCAUGAACACUAAUGAAGUGUAUAGGAUAGUGAGGGGUGACUUGGUCCAGUAGCCUCUCUUCUGAAUCUGAAAUAAUAUCAAGCUUACAGUGUUGUCAGCAGUGAAACAGUUCAAACCUGUGUGGUGGUUUUACCCAAUACAACCUGUAAUCACAAUUCAGCAAUAACAAGUGUUGGUGUAAUUUAUUAAAACGCUACUGUUGUUUUUUUAACCUACUUCAUUGAUUGAUACAACAUACCUAAACAGGUCAGGCAUGAAAUUGACUGACAGUAUUUGGCCUACUGUUUUCCUGAAACUCACGAAUAAUAAACUUGUUCAGAGAUGGGCUUUCUUAAAACCUUGUUUGUAUGCAGGCCUGUGUCUGCUUGUAAGCAAGUGCNNNNNNNNNNCAACAUACCUAAACAGGUCAGGCAUGAAAUUGACUGACAGUAUUUGGCCUACUGUUUUCCUGAAACUCACGAAUAAUAAACUUGUUCAGAGAUGGGCUUUCUUAAAACCUUGUUUGUAUGCAGGCCUGUGUCUGCUUGUAAGCAAGUGCCUGUGCUUGUAAUCCAGAAGUUGUUAAAAAAAAAAAAAAUAGUUCACACAAUAUUUCUUAUUAUUCUUCCAGUGUGACUUACUGGAAGUUAUGUUUCCAGUUCGUAUUACUCAAAAAUAUGUUUUGGGAGGCAGCAGGCUUCAAAAGAAGGAUUGCAGUGGGUAUAAGAAUGGAAAAUACUGUUCCCUGAUUUACUCUGCUUGAAAAUAAGCUUAAGAGUCAAUGAGGCACUGACUCAUGUGUGAGGCUUUUUAAGACCCAUGCAGCUUUUUUGACAGCACUGCCAGCCAAGUGUCUAGCUCAGCAAUGUGGUUCUGAAACAGUGGGAGCUCUCUGGCUCAGUGUUCUUACUCCAAAUUACUCCAAAUGAGCAAGCUUGUCUUAACAGCUCACCCCACGAAAUUACCUCGCUGCAAACUUGAAAACAGAAUUCUUUUGAAUGUUUUAUUGGAAACCGUUGCCUUUGUAUUUCUGCUUUCCAGCUGCCUUCCUAAGAGAUGAGGUAUAUUUCUUAUUUUACUUUAUAAUGCACUGUUGUGUAGGGACUUGCACUAGGAACAUGACAGCCAGACACAAUUCUAAGUGUUCAUACUCAUUUUUUUCUAUUCGUAUCUUCUCGGCGCCGCAUAGAAAUACCUAAUGUGCCUGUAUCCUGUGUGAUGAUGAAUAUAAUUUUCUGGGCUUGUGUUCACCAUGAGGAGAACAAUUCUCUAUUUUGCUUUAUAGGUGCGGAGCUGAGACAGAGGGGGAAGUACUCCUGCCAGCUAGCCUUGCACACCCAUUGGAGACGCUGUUUCUGUAAUCAAUAGAAAGGUAAUAUUGAACAAUGUUCCCUGGAGGUACUCUUUGAUUUCAUGUGAGAGAUCCAGGAAGACUAGAGACUGGAAAGCUCAAAUAAACCAAAGCUAUGCAGUAAUACUUCAGAGGGUUUGCCUAAUGUGUCAGAAGUAGUCAAAACACAGGUAUGCUACGUCUCAGUUUAGUUCUGGGAGUAAAUGUUUUCUGUUAGUAGCUGCUUUGAAAUGAGUUGAAUGGAAGUGAAAGCAUAUAUGUGAUGUUUUUGCCUGUCAGUUAUUGUUGUAAAUUGUGUGUGCUUUGUCCUCUUUUCCCUCAGGAGGAAAACAGAUUGACAUCUUCCAGGAAA